rnacentral:tRNA from 2 species
GGAUCGUUAGCUCAGUUGGUAGAGCGAGACACUGUUAAUGUCGAGGUCGCUGGUUCGAGACCAGCACGAUCCGCCA